GCCCUUGUAGCUCAACGGCCAGAGCAGCCGACUUUUAAUCGGCGGGUUUCCGGUUCGAAUCCGGACAGGGGCA
rnacentral:tRNA from 1 species